rnacentral:rRNA from 1 species
AUAGUAUAAUACACCUACUAUCCGCCUGGGAAUUACGAGCAUUAGCUUAAAACCCAAAGGACUUGGCGGUGCUUUANACCCACCUAGAGGAGCCUGUCCUAGAACCGAUAACCCCCGUUCAACCUCACCCUUCUUUGUUUUCCCCGCCUAUAUACCGCCGUCGUCAGCUUACCCUGUGAAGGACUAAUAGUAAGCAGAAUUGGCACAGCCCAAAACGUCAGGUCGAGGUGUAGCGUAUGGAAGGGGAAGAGAUGGGCUACAUUCCCUAACACAGGGAAUACGAAUGAUAUACUGAAACGUACAUCCUGAAGGAGGAUUUAGCAGUAAGCAGAAAACA